AUUGAACGCUGGCGGCAGGCCUAACACAUGCAAGUCGAGCGGAGCGGCGGACGGGUGAGUAUUGCCUAGGAAUCUGCCUGGUAGCGGGGGAUAACGUUCGGUACCGGGCGCUAAUACUGCAUACUAUCAGAUGAGCCUAGGUCGGAUUAGCUAGUUGGUGGGGUAAAGGCCUACAAAGGCGACGAGCCGUAACUGGUCUGAGAGGAUGAUCAGUCACACUGGAACUGAGACACGGUCCAGACUCCUACGGGAGGCAGCAGUGGGGAAUAUUGGACAAUGGGCGAAACCCUGAUCCAGCCAUGCCGCGUGUAUGAAGAAGGUCUUCGGGUUGUAAAGUACUUUAAGUUGGGAGGCGUUACCAGCAGAAUAAGCACCGGCUAACUACGUGCCAGCAGCCGCGGUAAUUC
rnacentral:rRNA from 1 species